GAGGGUGUAGCUAAGCGGCAGAGCGCACGUUUAGCAUGUAUGAGGUCCUGGGUUCCAUCCCCAGUACCUCCA
rfam:Camelus ferus unplaced genomic scaffold scaffold339, whole genome shotgun sequence.